GAUGCAUCACAGUAGCACACCAGUGCCAUUGUGACUUCUCCAAAGAUUGACAUUGGCCUGGGAGUGCUGGUGGAUGAAGUGAUUCUGCACCGUGCAGCUGCGAUGUCCGGCAACUGCCCCAAACGGUAUGCCCGAGCUUUGAUGAGGGCAAUAUUCAGCCAAGAGGAACUCUGCAGUGG